AGUGAACGCUGGCGGUAGGCCUAACACAUGCAAGUCGAACGGCAGCACAGUAAGAGCUUGCUCUUACGGGUGGCGAGUGGCGGACAGGUGAGGAAUACAUCGGAAUCUACUUUUUCGUGGGGGAUAACGUAGGGAAACUUACGCUAAUACCGCAUACGACCUACGGGUGAAAGCAGGGGAUCUUCGGACCUUGCGCGAUUGAAUGAGCCGAUGUCGGAUUAGCUGGUUGGCGGGGUAAAGGCCCACCAAGGCGACGAUCCGUAGCUGGUCUGAGAGGAUGAUCAGCCACACUGGAACUGAGACACGGUCCAGACUCCUACGGGAGGCAGCAGUGGGGAAUAUUGGACAAUGGGCGCAAGCCUGAUCCAGCCAUACCGCGUGGGUGAAGAAGGCCUUCGGGUUGUAAAGCCCUUUUGUUGGGAAAGAAAAGCAGCAGGUUAAUACCCCGCUGUUCUGACGGUACCCAAAGAAUAAGCACCGGCUAACUUCGUG
rnacentral:rRNA from 1 species